GAUGAACGCUAGCUACAGGCUUAACACAUGCAAGUCGCGGGACCGGCGCACGGGUGAGUCCCGCGUAUCCAACCUGCCCUUCACCACGGGAUAACCCGGCGAAAGUCGGACUAAUACCGUAUGGUGAAGGACGGGGAUGCGUCCGAUUGGCUUGACGGCGGGGGAACGGCGCGCCGUGGCGACGAUCGGUGGGGGUUCUGCGGGGAAGGGCCCCCACACUGGAACUGAGACACGGGCCAGACUCCUACGGGAGGCAGCAGUGAGGAAUAUUGGUCAAGGGGCGUAAGCCUGAACCAGCCAAGUAGCGUGCAGGACGACGGCCUAUGGGUUGUAAACUGCUUUUAUGCGGGGAUAGGUACCGCAUGAAUAAGGACCGGCUAAUUCCGUGCCAGCAGCCGCGGUAAUUC
rnacentral:rRNA from 1 species